rnacentral:rRNA from 1 species
CUAGUUGGUGGGGUAAAGGCCUACCAAGGCAUCGAUCAGUAGCUGGUCUGAGAGGACGACCAGCCACACUGGAACUGAGGCACGGUCCAGACUCCUACGGGAGGCAGCAGUGGGGAAUUUUGGACAAUGGGCGAAAGCCUGAUCCAGCAAUGCCGCGUGAGUGAAGAAGGCCUUCGGGUUGUAAAGCUCUUUUGUCAGGGAAGAAACGGUGAGGGCUAAUAUCCCUUGCUAAUGACGGUACCUGAAGAAUAAGCACCGGCUAACUACGUGCCAGCAGCCGCGGUAAUACGUAGGGUGCAAGCGUUAAUCGGAAUUACUGGGCGUAAAGCGUGCGCAGGCGGUUUUGUAAGUCUGUCGUGAAAUCCCCGGGCUCAACCUGGGAAUUGCGAUGGAGACUGCAAGGCUAGAAUCUGGCAGAGGGGGGUAGAAUUCCACGUGUAGCAGUGAAAUGCGUAGAGAUGUGGAGGAACACCGAUGGCGAAGGCAGCCCCCUGGGUCAAGAUUGACGCUCAUGCACGAAAGCGUGGGGAGCAAACAGGAUUAGAUACCCUGGUAGUCCACGCCCUAAACGAUGUCUACUAGUUGUCGGGUUUUAAUUAACUUGGUAACGCAGCUAACGCGUGAAGUAGACCGCCUGGGGAGUACGGUCGCAAGAUUAAAACUCAAAGGAAUUGACG